UACGUAGGGCGCAAGCGUUAUCCGGAAUUAUUGGGCGUAAAGAGCUCGUAGGCGGUUUGUCGCGUCUGCUGUGAAAACUGGAGGCUCAACCUCCAGCCUGCAGUGGGUACGGGCAGACUAGAGUGCGGUAGGGGAGAUUGGAAUUCCUGGUGUAGCGGUGGAAUGCGCAGAUAUCAGGAGGAACACCGAUGGCGAAGGCAGAUCUCUGGGCAGUAACUGACGCUGAGGAGCGAAAGCGUGGGGAGCGAACAGG
rnacentral:rRNA from 1 species